CACAACGUUUGAAAAAAACAACCGCAUUCUUUUCAACUAUAUCCUAUGUACUUUGUAAUCUCUCUGUUCUUUUUUGUGAUAAAAACUGAGCAAAAUGUCCAAUAGAUCAUUGUCUCGAGAGUUAAAAAAGGAACGCCAUGUGAGGCACUGUCGACAGUGCCAACUUUCAACAUUAAUUGUAUACAUCAAGGAAGUAACAACAGGUUCUAAGAGUCCGUUGAUUACUAUGGUAAUCAUAAACUAAAAAUGAGUAUCUUGUGGGAUUGGGAUACUCAAAAACCGGCUAAUUGGGUUGUGUUGAUAAAGCAUUGCGUAUUCAAGCCUUGUGACAUGAAAAUUCAAUGCUGCGCUUUUUCAUCCAACGGUAUUUUCUCCUGUAGCUUUGAUUCAUUCUGGUGCUUAUCCUUUUAGGCACAAACGCAAGCUCUGAGGAUUAGGGUUCCGCUAAGGCGAAUUUGCCUUUAUUUACCAAAGUUCACAUGACUUGAUGCCAAUAAGCAGGAAGGUCGAAAAGUGCUACAUGAUGUUUAAAGAUAAUGCUCAAUUCGUUCGAAGUAUUACUCUCCUAUACCCGUAUAAGAUAAAUGGAUUAGAGGGGAAUUCACAAAAGAAAAACUAAUUUGCAACUUAAACUGGUUGCAGUGUAUCAGUGUCAAGUGAAAAAGUAGGAGAUAUCCAAAACUGCUUGUUUUAUCGAAAGAUGCAAGUUUACCCCAUUAAUAGCCUUCUUGGGUCUUGUCUUCCUGAGCCUAUCGGUUUGUGAAUGAGAACGCUGCUGAGGUUUAAGGUACAAUGUUGCUUCCUUAUGCAAAGUGAUUAAUCUUUAAUAAGGGA